rnacentral:misc_RNA from 1 species
GGGAAGUAAAAGUCGUAACAAGGUUUCCGUAGGUGAACCUGCGGAAGGAUCAUUACUGAUUUGCUUAAUUGCACCACAUGUGUUUUUCUUUGAAACAAACUUGCUUUGGCGGUGGGCCCAGCCUGCCGCCAGAGGUCUAAACUUACAACCAAUUUUUUAUCAACUUGUCACACCAGAUUAUUACUAAUAGUCAAAACUUUCAACAACGGAUCUCUUGGUUCUCGCAUCGAUGAAGAACGCAGCGAAAUGCGAUACGUAAUAUGAAUUGCAGAUAUUCGUGAAUCAUCGAAUCUUUGAACGCACAUUGCGCCCUCUGGUAUUCCGGAGGGCAUGCCUGUUUGAGCGUCGUUUCUCCCUCAAACCGCUGGGUUUGGUGUUGAGCAAUACGACUUGGGUUUGCUUGAAAGACGGUAGUGGUAAGGCGGGAUCGCUUUGACAAUGGCUUAGGUCUAACCAAAAACAUUGCUUGCGGCGGUAACGUCCACCACGUAUAUCUUCAAACUUUGACCUCAAAUCAGGUAGGACUACCCGCUGAACUUAAGCAUAUCAAUAAGCGGAGGAA